GUGAUUUCUAAGUAGUUGAGUUGUUGAGAUGAGGGUAAGGACUGCUAAAUGGUAGGCAGGUUUUGUUUUCAUUGGUGAAUCCGGUGUCAUCAUAUUCCGGUCAUAUGUUGAAAUAUUCUUUGUUUAGGUCUUGAAGUAGAGGAUCUCACACUGCACGUCCACAUUGUGUUGUUUUUAAAUGAAGUCUAGGAGUAUGGGUUUCUAGAAUUUCGGAUGUGAGUGAAGGUCCGGACGUGUGUGGGCCUCAGCUCUGGCCUUGACAGUGAACUUUGUGGCUGUGUUUCGGAUUUCAAAGAUUUGCCCCAUAGCUGGGUUGCUAGUGGAGUCGUGCAUUUUUCUGAAUGGUAGGUGUCAGGAAUAUAGAUGCUUGGGGAAGUUAGAGAGGGAAGAACAUUUGUAUAUUAAUAAUUGAUAGCUGAAUAUUAGAAUCAGAUUAAUUUGGGCUGAUGAAAGUUGUGUUUUUUUUUUUUCAAAACAGUUGUGCACUCUAGGAAGAAAGGCUUUUCAUAGGCAUACUUUGUAAGGGGUUCCUUAAGUCGAGGAGCUCAGAUAUAGCCUUUCAGAGAGGCUACUCAUCAACACCAACAUCUGCAGCUUUAUUGAGGUAAAGGGGACCGAAACUGAGGCUGAGAUGUGUAAGCAUGCUUUUCAGUGCUUAUGCUGUUUGUUUACAUUUGCUGUUCACUCACGUUUGGGCAGUAGAAAUAAAUAGGUCAGCUUUUCUUCGGUUUUUGAAAGCUAGUCCCCUCUCUUUUUUCAGUUUCACAAUUUACUUGGUUUACAGCCUUGUAGGAAACCAUUACUACAUUUUUACUGGAAAUACUAUUAUUCAUGUUAAUUUCGGUGAGGAAAUGGAGGUUUCCCUAGGAUCACAUAGGUAGCAAAUGGUACAACCUGGAUUCAAGCCCAGUCCCACUAAAAGUUUAUGGCAAAAGAGUAAAUGUAGAACAAUUUAACUGGAGAGUCUCCUCCCCCAUGCCAAGGUGAGAAAAAUGUGUCUGCUGAGUUCUUGUUUGUAAGUACUUCUGGGAGAAAUAGAAAAUAUGGAUAUGUUAGUUUCAACAGAGCCUUUAAAAAAAUUUCAGGGUACUUUGUAUUUAUUAAAACUCUCCAUGACAUAAAGCUUUCUUUUUUCCCCCCAGCAACUGAUGAGACCAGUGCCAAGAUACUGAGGCAGUUUAUACUUAGUAGGGUCACUUAGCAUCUAGUCAGCUGGUCAGACACUGGGUCUGACAAAUUGUGCAUGCUUAAUCCUGAAUGUGUACACGAAAGUGCUGGGGAUAGAACCCAAGUCUUGCACAUGCCAGACCUAGUAAUGAGAGUUAGGAGUGGAACUUAUUUGCGCCCUCGUCUGCUCUUCUGCUCCUCUUUGGACCUACU
rnacentral:lncRNA from 1 species